rnacentral:rRNA from 1 species
UUGAACGCUGGCGGCAGGCCUCACCCCUGCAAGUCGCGCGGAUGAAGGGAGCUUGCUCCUGGAUUCAGCGGCGGACGGGUGAGUAAUGCCUAGGAAUCUGCCUGGUAGUGGGGGAUAACGUCCGGAAACGGGCGCUAAUACCGCAUACGUCCUGAGGGAGAAAGUGGGGGAUCUUCGGACCUCACGCUAUCAGAUGAGCCUAGGUCGGAUUAGCUAGUUGGUGGGGUAAAGGCCUACCAAGGCGACGAUCCGUAACUGGUCUGAGAGGAUGAUCAGUCACACUGGAACUGAGACACGGUCCAGACUCCUACGGGAGGCAGCAGUGGGGAAUAUUGGACAAUGGGCGAAAGCCUGAUCCAGCCAUGCCGCGUGUGUGAAGAAGGUCUUCGGAUUGUAAAGCACUUUAAGUUGGGAGGAAGGGCAGUAAGUUAAUACCUUGCUGUUUUGACGUUACCAACAGAAUAAGCACCGGCUAACUUCGUG